rnacentral:rRNA from 1 species
AGCAGUAGCCGCGGUAAUACGAAGGGGGCUAGCGUUGUUCGGAAUUACUGGGCGUAAAGGGCGCGUAGGCGGCCAUUCAAGUUAGAUGUGAAAGCCCUGGGCUCAACCUAGGAAUUGCAUUUGAUACUGUUUGGCUUGAGUUCGGGAGAGGUGAGUGGAAUUCCCAGUGUAGAGGUGAAAUUCGUAGAUAUUGGGAAGAGCACCAGUGGCGAAGGCGGCUCACUGGACCGACACUGACGCUGAGGCGCGAAAGCGUGGGGAGCAAACAGGAUUAGAUACCCCCGUAGUCCCUGUCUCUUAUAC